rnacentral:rRNA from 1 species
UCAAGCUACAAAGAGCACAAGGGGAAUGCCUUGGCACCGAGAGCCGAAGAAGGACGUGACUAACUGCGAUAAGCUGCGGGGAGCCGUAAGUAGGCUUUGAUCCGCAGAUUUCCGAAUGGAGCAAUCCGGCAAGAGGAAAGUCUUGUCAUCAUAUACUGAAUACAUAGGUAUAUGAGGGGAACCGCCUGAACUGAAACAUCUAAGUAGGGCGAGGAAGAGAAAUCAACUGAGAUUCCGUAAGUAGUGGCGAGCGAACGCGGAAGAGGCCAAACCGAGAGUAGUAAUACUUUCGGGGUUCGGACAGAAUACGGCAUUGUAAAGGUUUAGUGGAAUGGAAUGGGAAGUCCAACCGAAGAAGGUGAGAGUCCUGUACACGAAAAGCCUGAACAGCCAUCUGUAUCCAGAGUACCGCCGGACACGUGAAACCCGGUGGGAAUACGGGGGGACCAUCCUCCAAGCCUAAAUACUACUCGGUGACCGAUAGUGAAGAAGUACUGUGAAGGAAAGGUGAAAAGUACCCCUGACGGGGAGUGAAAAAGAACCUGAAACCUUGUGUUUACAAGCACCGAAAGCUCAUCAAAGAGCGAUCGGGUACCUUUUGUAGAAUGGUCCGGCGAGUGAAUGUAACCGGCGAGGUUAAGCACUUAAGGUGUGAAGCCGCAGCGAGAGCAAGUCUGAAUAGGGCGUAUGAAGUCGGUUGUAUUCGACCCGAAACCGGGUGACCUACCCAUGGUCAGGUUGAAGUAAAGGUAAAACUUUAUGGAGGACCGAACCGACUCCCGUUGAAAUGGUAGCGGAUGAACUGUGGGUAGCGGAGAAAUUCCAAUCGAACCCGGAGAUAGCUGGUUCUCUCCGAAAUAGCUUUAGGGCUAGCCUUGAAAUAGAUUACCGGAGGUAAAGCACUGAAUUGGCUAGGGGCCGAGAGGUUACUGAACCUUAUCAAACUAAGAAUGCCGGAUAAUCGUUUUUCAGGAGUCAGACAGUGGGAGAUAAGUUUCAUUGUCAAAAGGGAAACAGCCCAGACCCACAGCUAAGGUCCCCAAGUAUAGUUAAGUGGAAAAGGAUGUGGAAUUGCACAGACAACCAGGAUGUUGGCUUAGAAGCAGCCACUCAUUAAAAGAGUGCGUAAUAGCUCACUGGUCGAGUGACUCUGCGCGGAAAAUAUAACGGGGCUAAGCAUGAAACCGAAGCUUGGGCUUGUACUUAGGUACAGGGGUAGGGGAGCGUCGAGUAUGGGGUGAAGUCAGAGCGGAAGCACUGGUGGACUGUACUGGAGUGAGAAUGCCGGAAUGAGUAGCGAGAAUUAUGUGGGAAUCAUAAUGGCCGAAAAUCUAAGGUUUCUUGGGGAAGGUUCGUCCGCCCAAGGUAAGUCGGGAGCUAAGCUCAGGCCGAGAGGCGUAGGCGAUGCACAUACGGUAGAAAUUCCGUAACCACCGAAACUUAAACAGAGGGACACUUCGAAAUAGCGGAACCCGGGCGUUGGUUGACCCGGGCGUAAGGGAGCGAAAUUAGAGUAGCGAAGUCCGCGAUGUUCGGAGGCGAGAAAAGCUCUGAGGUAUGCUAAGGUGCCCGUACCGCAAACCGACACAGGUAGAUGAGGAGAGAAUCCUAAGGCCAACGGGAGAAGGGUUGUUAAGGAACUCGGCAAAUUGACCCCGUAACUUCGGAAGAAGGGGAGCCCCCUACGGGGGGUCGCAGAGAAAUGGCCCAAGCAACUGUUUACCAAAAACACAGGUCUAUGCUAAAUCGAAAGAUGACGUAUAUGGGCUGACGCCUGCCCGGUGCCGGAAGGUUAAGAGGAGAUGUCAGGCAACGAAGCAUUGAAUUUAAGCCCCGGUAAACGGCGGCCGUAACUAUAACGGUCCUAAGGUAGCGAAAUUCCUUGUCAGGUAAGUUCUGACCCGCACGAAAGGCGUAAUGAUUUGGGCGCUGUCUCGACAAUGUACUCGGCGAAAUUGUAGUACUAGUGAAGAUGCUAGUUACCUGCGACAAGACAGAAAGACCCCAUGGAGCUUUACUGUAGCUUGAUACUGGGUUUCGAUAAUUUAUGUACAGGAUAGGUGGGAUGCAAAGAAGCAAGUGCGCCAGCAUUUGUGGAGCAGACGUUGGGAUACCACCCUUAAGUUAUUGGAAUUCUAACCUGUAGUCAUGAACUGGCUAGGGGACAAUGUCAGGCGGGCAGUUUGACUGGGGCGGUCGCCUCCAAAAGAGUAACGGAGGCGCGCAAAGGUUUCCUCAGCGCGGACAGAAAUCGCGCAAGAGAGUGCAAAGGCAGAAGGAAGCUUAACUGAGAGACUGACAAGUCGACCAGAUACGAAAGUAGGUCUUAGUGAUCCGGCGGUAGUGAGUGGAAAUGCCGUCGCUCAACGGACAAAAGUUACCCUGGGGAUAACAGGCUUAUCUCCCCCAAGAGUUCACAUCGACGGGGAGGUUUGGCACCUCGAUGUCGGCUCAUCGCAUCCUGGAGCGGAAGUACGUUCCAAGGGUUGGGCUGUUCGCCCAUUAAAGCGGUACGCGAGCUGGGUUCAGAACGUCGUGAGACAGUUCGGUCCUUAUCUGUCGCAGGCGUAGGAUAUUUGAAGGGAGCUGUCCUUAGUACGAGAGGACCAGGAUGGAGAUACCGAUGGUGUAUCAGUUGUCACACCAGUGGCAUGGCUGAGUAGCUAAGUAUCGAUGGGAUAAACGCUGAAAGCAUCUAAGUGUGAAGCCCACCCUAAGAUAAGAUGUCCCAUACCGUAAGGUAGUAAGAUUCCACGUAGACUAUGUGGUUGAUAGGUUGGAGGUGUAAGUGCAGUAAUGUAUUGAGCUGACCAAUACUAAUAAAUCGAGGGCUUAACCAC